AGUUUUAAAUUUUUUUCCCCAAAUUUCUCAAAUUCCAAAUUUUUAAAAAGUUGGAAGAAAAAAUCUUUAAUUGCACAAUAGCUUUGUAAGAUCUUGACAUUUGUUUUGAGUCAGAAACUCAUUCUAUGUCAAAAUUCGAUCACAAUCCAAAUGCAGAGCUGUAUCAAGCUUGAAUGUUGUGUCCAUACUUGCCCCAACUGUUCAGGG
rnacentral:lncRNA from 1 species